AAUGCAUUAACCAAAAAUAAAAAAUUGUCUCUUUUGUCGAAAAAGGUUCCCGACCCCUGCUUUAUUUUUAAAAAAUUGUAUUAUUAUUUUUAUUUUUAUCUUUACCACUAAUAAAAAAUUAUUAUUAUUAGUGGUAAAGAUUUUUAUUUUAGUAAUCUUGUUACCCUUUGUAUAUAAAUGUUCUUGGAGUAGGAGGUUGUAUGUGUUAAUCAAUUAUGUUAUAAAAGUUUGUCUGUAAAGAUUUUUUCUUGUAAACAUUUGCUUACAGGUGUGCGAGUGGUUGGGUGCGCUGGUGUGUGUGUGUGUUGCUUUCAGAAGCUGAAGGCUUCAGGCAGGAGGUUCUCUCAAUCCAUUCAUUUGCUGGUGGUGGGUUGAACCCUGUUUGCGGUGUUGCAGUAUGGAGCAAGGAUUUGGGUGUGAGUGAAGUUUGUUUUGAUAGUAUUCCGGUCCUUCAGCACUCAGCCUUGUAUGUGAUUUAGAGUGUUUGUGUUACGGGGUGAACGAGACAUGAGACAUGCGGAUCCAUCUGCAAAGCUUUUAUUUAAAGGCGUGGUCAUAAAACAGGCAAGGUUCUGACAAUGGCAAACAUGUAUAUUGAGGGCAAGACAAAAGAGUAAUCCAAAACUGGCGUGAGUCAGUCGACAGUGAACGUUCCCCAGAGAGCUUGACAAGAGGGGAAAUACACUAACACGAGCAAUAGUUCAUGCAAGGUGCAAACACAGUCCGAAACAGAAAUGCAAAAGGCUAAUCCAAAAUACACAGGCAAGAAUAAGUUAACAUGGGAAAGCAGGCAAGAAAAGACUAUGACUAGGAACUAAGGACUAGAAACUAGGGCAGAAAACUGGCUCUGUAAUAUACUACCACUAGGAGAGUGAUAUAUGCAAACUCUGCAGUUUGAGAAGGAUCUGAGUAGAUGUAAUAUAGUGUAUUUGUGUGAUUGGUUACAGCUGUGUGCAACGGAUGAUGGGAUAUGUAGUCCGUGAUGCAACAGUUUGUGUAGUGUUAGAGUCAAUGUAAAGGAAGGGUGACCUCUGGUGGCAAUCGGACAGAAGCCCAUGAACAGGAUUCGCGACUGUUUGUUUUGAGUUUUUGCUAUUUUUUUUACUAUUAUUGAUGAAUGAUGGUGUGAAUUCCCCUUCUUGGUGUAAAAUAAUUUAUGGAAAGGUUCGAGGGCAUGACCUUCUAUUAUGUGUAACUGAUUUGUUUUUAUGUAAUGUGACUCAGUAAAGAAUUUUACAUGGUGCUCAUGUUUCUGUUCCAUUUUAGUGCAAUAAACUUGUGUGCCUUAAUCUAGUUUCAAUUAUUCUCUGUGUUAUACAUCAAAGUGGCGUAGUCAGGUUUAAUUACAAUUGAGUAAUUACUGUAUUGUAUUUAUUGUAGUUGGACCCUAGUGGUCUCUUCCUUUCUAGCCUGGCCACAUAAGCAACAUUUUCCCUGUGAAUAUUUCAGCAGUUAUUAUUUGAGUCCUGUAUUUCUGUCAAAUGAAUAUAUGACAAUCAAUUUGUGGUUUAAUCGUUCUUUUGAGCCAGUUCUCUCUUUUCUGUGAACUGGCCGAAUGCAGACCACAUGUUAAUAAUAAUAAUAAUAAUAAUAAUGCAUUUUAAUUCAUGGCACCUUUCAGAACACCUUACAAGCAAUAUACAGGUCACUGCAUAAG
ensembl:lncRNA